CCAAACUGUGAGCCCAUAUUUCUGCUCAAUCCUGACUUCUCCAGGCAAAGCCAAACUGUGAUCCAAAGUGACUCAGAAGUAAAGUCUAAACUCAAAAUUCCCAGGGAGCCUGAAAGAAUCCAUGAAAGCAGGCAGGACCCUUCUCCAGCAGAGAAAGGGUUCAUGGAGGGACUGGUAGCAGUUAGGUCAUGAGAAAGGGGAGAGCUAUGGGGACACUGGGCUUGAGUGGCAUCAACUCCUCACACAGCCCCACUCCUGUCUGGUUCUCAGGAGCAGCCGACACCAUCAGCCCCUCAAUGAACAACUCUGACCCCAAGAGUGCCUCCCACCCACAAGACUACACCAUGGAGAAUUCCAUCCGGAUGGGCGUGGCAGGAUUGGUCCUGUUGGUGCUCGGGGUGCUGCUCCUUUGGUCUCGAAACAGCCAGAUAAAGACCCAGGAAGCAGCCAGGACAUGAACAUGGAGGGAACAAUGCACGGUUCAGAGAGGAGGAUCUUGGGAAGGUUCUGGAAGAUAAUGUGGAACAUAUGCUGAGAGACCUGUCUGGGACUCCUUGCAGUUGGAGGAGUCAUCGCUCAUGUGCCGGGACUAGUUCUGGACCUUCUGCCCUUGAACUGUGGUCCUUUCCCUCCCGACCACUGUGAGUCCUGUGACUGGUUCCUGACUUUCCCCAUUUUGGUGAAAUUAGCAUUUAUCCCACAUGGCAGGUACAGGCCCACACCUCCCUAUACUUUCAUGGAAUAUGUUUUCCUUUAUUUCUAACCACAUGAACCUUCAUGUCAGUAUAGAGUCCCCAUCUCCUGAGUCCAGAGUGUGCAAUCUAUUGUAGCCAUCUACAAGGUGCACAAUCCAUCCUGCAAGAGGUAAACCCACAGGAGGUCCUAACGCCCUCUCUGGACUCCACACGCCCCUCACCUGGCCUCGGAGGCCACCGCUGUGCUUUCCACAUAAACUUCACCCCUUGGGAUCCAGACAUGGUUGUUUGAAGGGGUCGCCUGGUCUGCGCUGCCUCUGAAAACCCCAAUGUCCAAAUCACAGUGCAAGACAUAGAAGACAUGUUACAGAUGUGCAUCCUUGAAACCUAUGUCCUGUUAUUCACCGAUGGCACCUUAUUAAAUUUAAUAUAAAAAAUUA